UAUUAUGAGAGUUUGAUCCUGGCUCAGGACGAACGCUGGCGGCGUGCCUAAUACAUGCAAGUCGAACGCUUCUUUCCUCCCGAGUGCUUGCACUCAAUUGGAAAGAGGAGUGGCGGACGGGUGAGUAACACGUGGGUAACCUACCCAUCAGAGGGGGAUAACACUUGGAAACAGGUGCUAAUACCGCAUAACAGUUUAUGCCGCAUGGCAUAAGAGUGAAAGGCGCUUUCGGGUGUCGCUGAUGGAUGGACCCGCGGUGCAUUAGCUAGUUGGUGAGGUAACU
rnacentral:rRNA from 1 species